rnacentral:rRNA from 1 species
AGUGAACGCUGGCGGUAGGCCUAACACAUGCAAGUCGAACGGCAGCACAGUAAGAGCUUGCUCUUACGGGUGGCGAGUGGCGGACGGGUGAGGAAUACAUCGGAAUCUACUUUUUCGUGGGGGAUAACGUAGGGAAACUUACGCUAAUAGCGCAUACGACCUACGGGUGAAAGCAGGGGAUCUUCGGACCUUGCGCGAUUGAAUGAGCCGAUGUCGGAUUAGCUAGUUGGCGGGGUAAAGGCACACCAAGGCGACGAUCCGUAGCUGGUCUGAGAGGAUGAUCAGCCACACUGGAACUGAGACACGGUCCAGACUCCUACGGGAGGCAGCAGUGGGGAAUAUUGGACAAUGGGCGCAAGCCUGAUCCAGCCAUACCGCGUGAGUGAAGAAGGCCUUCGGGUUGUAAAGCCCUUUUGUUGGGAAAGAAAAGCAGCAGGUGAAUACCCCGCUGUUCUGACGGUACCCAAAGAAUAAGCACCGGCUAACUUCGUG